UAUGUUGCCCUACCUGCGAGCUAUUUCAUAAAACCAAGAUAAGGGAUUAAGCCGGGAGUUCCCAGUUAUCCUGGCUCAAUUUAGCCUUGAGUCGCCUGGGAGAUACUGUGGGAGGUGCUGCAGGAGUAUGGGAUGAGGGGUCCCUUCUCAGGGCCAUCCACUCUCUGUAUGUCCAAAGCAAGAGCUGUGUCCAGGAUCUCGGUAGUGAGUCAGACUCAUUCCAAGUGGGUGCUGCAUCUGCCAGGGCUGCAUUUUUUUCCCCAAUCCUGUUUGUGAUAUUCAAGGACAGGAUAUAGAUUCAUAGUCAGGGUGCGGAGGAGUUGCGGUUCGGUGGUCUGGGGAUCUAAUCGCUGUGACCUUCAGCACUCACUGGAUCGGUUCGCAGUCAACUGUGAAGCCGCUGGGAUGAGGAACAGCACCUUUAAAUCUGAGGCCGUGGUUCUCAGCAGAAAAACCGGUUGAGUGCCUACUCCGGGUAGGGAAUGAGUCCUUACCCCAAGUGAAGGAGUUCAAGUACCUCAGGUUCUUGUUCGUGAGUGAGGGGACAAUGGAUCGAUAGAUUGGCUGGAGAAUAGGAGCAGCGGAUGCAUUAUUGCUGUCACUUUACCACACCGUUUUGACAAAAAGAAGAGUUGAGCCAGAAGACAAAGCUCUCAAACUACCUGCCAAUUUUGGUUCCUACCCUCACCUAUGAUAACGAAGGCUGGGUCAUAACCGAAAGAACGAGAUCCUAGGUACAAGUGGUCAAAAUGUGUUUUCUCAGGAGAGUGGCUGGCGUGUCCCUUAGAGGUAGGGUGAGAAGGUCUCCUUUGAAUCGAAAAGAACCAGUUGAGGUGGUUUUGGCAUCUGGUAAUGAUGCCCCCUGGGCGCCUCCCUAGUGAGGUGUUUCGGGUACGUCAAGCUGGGAGAAGGCCCCGGACUAGAUGGAAAGAUUAUGUUAGGCUGGUUGCCCCAGGGGAUUC